GUACAGAGGAUGUGUUCCACAAAGCAUUUCUGCUCCGCAGCAAGCUCCUGCAAACUGUCCUUAUCUUCUUCAUCUACAAAGGAGCACAUUAUAUAAGUUCUUCAAAAUCAAAUGGCGAUGAAGACAGGUCAUGGCUCCGUAGGAAACCUACGCUUGCACACAUGUACUCACAGGAAACUGCUGCAGCACAGGUACCAAAACAGACUUCAGGACAACUGCUUAGGGGACUGAACAGUUCAGUCAGAGGACAGUAAGCCAGGGGUGAAAGGUGAAGUUUUACUUGUCUCGAUAACGCUGACUUACAGACAGUUUAAGUUUUGGAUACAAUUUUUGUGUGACAAUCAUUUAUAUUUAUACUAAGAAAUAUGAGCAGUUGUUACAUAAUCUUAAUGAAAAUGUCUAUAUUUCCUUUGAGCCCUAGUAUCCGUAAGACUACCCUGAGACUAAAAGGUGAGAUCUUGAAUAAUCUUGAAUAGCUAUUAUUAUUUAUAAAUAUUUAUCUCUGUGACUCAGGAUUUUUAAAACAUUAAACAAUUAAAACAAGAUAAAGAAAUAACGUAUAUACUAAAGCUGAUUUAAGAUGACAAUUGUCACCCUAAAUUAAAUUUUUCUUUUAUCUAACAGCCUCACUUUCUUACUAUGAACUUAUAGUAAGUAAAUGUUAUAAAGUAGAUGUUACAUUAUUUUUAUCUGUUUUAUACGCUGGGGUUCUGCAUAACACCUCUGAAAAUAGCAUUAUGCUAUAAAAAUUCCUGGUCUAUGGCAGUCAUCUUUUUGAAUAAGAAAAUAUUGAAAAGUUUCUUUCAUUUGGCCACACUUGACACUUAAUGUAAGGUUCAAACCAUCUCAUUAGGUCUACCAUUGUUUAAAAUGGCUUUUCAAAAUGUGUUUAGUGCUGAAGUCAACAGAAAAAUCUUAAUACUGAGAUAUAACAGAAGUCUGUUAUGAAAUGGAAGCAACAUUAGUAACAGAAGUAGGGAAUUUGCUAGACACCCCCCAGAUGUUUUACGGUAGCCAUUUCACUUAUAUCAUCUAAAAUGCAGUUAUGUUUCAGUUAUUGUAAUAUGCCUUAAAUACAAAUAUGAAUGAGUCAAAAGUUUAUUAGUUUCACAUGUGAAAAUGUUAACUCUUAUUAGAAAAACUAAGAUAAAAAUGCCUACAUUCAAGAUUUUCCAAAGAUAGAUUUAUCUGUACAAGGAAAUCAAUUAGUUUAUGUCACUUUACCUCAGUAGGUCUCAAUUCCCUCAUCUACAAAGCAAGGUUCUGAGACUUAAGAUUAAGACUAUAUAUCCCCAAACACUGUUCAACUAGACAGGCCCGACGAGUUCGCUUUGCUGGUUUAUUAUAUAAGGACCACUAUCCCCUUAAAUCUUUUGGCUAUACUUUAGUAGAACUGAAGCCAUUGUUAUCAAACCUACGCACUCUACCUGGCUAACGGCACUAUAAUAGGACUAGACAGAGGAAAACUAGGAAAGGCGCAUCAAACUCUUCCAGACUAAGUAAGCGUUUGUUCCUCAUUCUGCACAGGGAAGACGACAAGAUUCUAGAGGAGACUCUGAGAAAGCGGGGAGGGCAAAUAGGAGUACAGGAUCUCUGAGUUAGAGGGGACCUUAGAAAUCAUCUGUUAUCCCUGUUGUUUUCAGAUGAGAAAACUGAAGCCCUGAGAGGUUGAGUAAAUGCCCAAUACUACAGAACCUAUUACUGUUAAAGCGCUAACUCAAAUCCAGGACACUACAGACUCCUGGCCACAAACCCUUCCACUCAGCCACUCUGUGUCUGAAUAAAAGAUCCUUCGAUUCUCGGCAUUUUAUCCAAGAGCUCCCUAGAUGAACAGAGAGAAGCUGCCAGAAGGAUGUGGUACCAACCCAGGCACUACCGCAGGGUCCUGGGAAUGUAUCGGUGAACUAAACAAAGGCCCUCCCUCUCAUGAGAGAGAUGGACAACAACAGAGAAGAAACAAACAGACAACACCAAGUCAGAAAACGACGUUAUGAAGAAAAUAAGGUGCGGUAAGAGGGUACUGAUGGAGGCGCUACUUGAGACUGGGUGGUCUGGGAAGGGCUGCUAAGGCGACACUUGAGCAAAGAUUUGAAGGAAGGGAGGGAGGGAGAGGUCUGUGGUUACCUGGGGAAGGAGCAACUGAGGCAGAGGGAGGCACGCAGGUGAAGGCUUAGGGUGGGAAGGUGGGUGAUGCUACCUGAGGCAUGGCAAGGAGGCCAAGGCAGCUGGAGCUCAGAGAGCCAGGGCACAGAGGGAGGAACACAGCUGGAGAGGGGCAGUCAGGGGCACACCUGUAGGCCCUCGCAGGCCACGGUAAAGACUCUGAGAGAUCAGUGGGCUGUGGAGAGCAGGAAAGUAGAAUGAUCUGAUUUAUACUAAAAGUAUCACUCUGGCUGCUAUACUGAGGAUACACUACAGGAGAUUACAAAAGAUUUCAUUUUCUACUUAAUAUUUUUCUGUAGUUUUCCCAAUUUUCUAUAAUAAAUAUACAUUACCUUUAUAAUCAGGAAAGACAAAUGAUAAAACAUGCUGUUUUUAUAUUUUAAAAUUUAGUAUCAUUGGUAAUCUCAAAAGAUUCCAGUUUAACACAAAGUUAAUGAAUAUGAGUAUAGUAAAAUCACAAUUUCAUAUAGUUGAGAGUCAACAUCAUUCUGAAGUAUUCUAAGUACCGUAUCUUAGUUUCUUUAUCACAUGGAAAGGUAUAUGGUAUCAGGAAGCAAAAAAAACGAGGAAUCUCAAAACCCAGAAUAAAAGAACUGCCUGAGUUAAACUCAAAAAUCAAGACAAUGAAUGGGACAAAGAGACACAGAAGUUAAGUUAAAGAGACGUAAAAGACUUCAAAGCCAUCAAAACUUAACAAAUAUAGUAAUAUUUCUAAUAAUGAUAUAGGUAUCAAUUAAUGAGUACUUACUCUGCGCUGUGACCCAUGCUAAGCACUUUUUAGGCAUGAUCUCAUUUAUUCUGUACAAUAAUCCUAAUAAAUGAACACUAUUGCUACUUUUUAAAGUCAUGGAACAUACAGUCAUGGAAAUGAGGCUUAGUGCAUUGAAUAACUUGCCCAGAUGCCACAGCUAACAAGUGGCAGGGCUGAGCUUAGAACACACGGGUGUGGAUGCCACAGCCAAUGCUCUUCACAACUGCAUUUGCUCCACAGCCUCACAUCCAGACGCGUCUGUCAAAAGGAGGCUGAUAAGCUACGGAGACACACAGCAGGGAGAAAACGCCCCGACACCAGAACAGGGCCUAUCAACUCCCACAGGCAAGUAUUUCCCCACUGUGGAGAUGGAUGCACUGGAACUUAAGCAACUGGUACCAUAAGACAUUAAAAUUAUUUAACUCAAACUUUCAGUUCUGGGACUAUCAAAGAGAAUUAAAGUGGUCCCAGGUCAGUGGCAACCUCUGAUUCCUGGCAGAAGCAGAUGAGAAAUCCUCUUUAAAGGAACAGACCCCCACUGCAGUUCUCAAUAUUCCCAAAUAUUAAGAUCAUGUAAACAUAAGUUCAUAGUUAGAGAUCAGCAAUCACAAGAGGAAGCCACUAUGGUUGUGGGUCAGGAGGAAGAACAAAUACAGAUUUAGACCCCCACCCCCUACCCCCAGGACUUAGAUACUGAAACUGUCAAAUACAGAAUAGCUAUAUAUAAAAUAUUCCGAGGAAUAAAGGUUAGAAAAACAAAAAUAAACAAGACUAUUAGAUAUGACCACCACAGAGACAUGAAAAGAACUAAAUGGAACUUCCAGAAAUACUGCUGCUAAAAGCUUCACUCUAUAUGCACACGCUGUGGGUGAUCGUGUGGUAAUCACCAGAAAGACUGAUCAGGAGGCCAGAGGAAUGGGGUUUGUGAGUU